GAUGAACGCUGGCGGCGUGCCUAAUACAUGCAAGUCGAGCGAACGGACGAGAAGCUUGCUUCUCUGAUGUUAGCGGCGGACGGGUGAGUAACACGUGGAUAACCUACCUAUAAGACUGGGAUAACUUCGGGAAACCGUAGCUAAUACCGGAUAAUAUUUUGAACCGCAUGGUUCAAAAGUGAAAGACGGUCUUGCUGUCACUUAUAGAUGGAUCCGCGCUGCAUUAGCUAGUUGGUAAGGUAACGGCUUACCAAGGCAACGAUGCAUAGCCGACCUGAGAGGGUGAUCGGCCGCACGGGAACUGAGACACGGUCCAGACUCCUACGGGAGGCAGCAGUAGGGAAUCUUCCGCAAUGGGCGAAAGCCUGACGGAGCAACGCCGCGUGAGUGAUGAAGGUCUUCGGAUCGUAAAACUCUGUUAUUAGGGAAGAACAUAUGUGUAAGUAACUGUGCACAUCUUGACGGUACCUAAUCAGAAAGCCACGGCUAACUACGUG
rnacentral:rRNA from 1 species